AUCUAACAUAAACAACCUUUAGAGUUCUCUUUGAGGGAAUCAAAGAGCAAUUCCAGGAUUGUUGAAACUCCCAUCAACAAAGGAAGUGAUGGGAUCUGAAUUACAGCCGGAACAGUUGGUAAUCUUCAAACGCAGCUGUUGACUGACAGAGAGGGACACAGAUGGAAAUGUGUGAGCCCGGUGUCAUAUCAGAGUAUCAGACCCCAGGCAGCUGGUGGAGGGGAACACAUGUCCCAGGUCUCUUUGGUGGGGAAAACAACACAGGUCCCAGGUCUCUUUGGUGGGGAAAACAACACAGGUCCCAGGUCUCUUUGGUGGGGAAAACAACACAGGUCCCAGGUCUCUUUGGUGGAGAAAACAACACAACAGGUCCCAGGUCUCUUUGGUGGAGAAAACAACACAACAGGUCCCAGGUCUCUUUGGUGGAGAAAACAACACAACAGGUCCCAGGUCUCUUUGGUGGAGAAAACAACACAACAGGUCCCAGGUCUCUUUGGUGGAGAAAACAACACAACAGGUCCCAGGUCUCUUUGGUGGGGAAAACAACACAGGUCCCAGGUCUCUUUGGUGGAGAAAACAACACAACAGGUCCCAGGUCUCUUUGGUGGAGAAAACAACACAACAGGUCCCAGGUCUCUUUGAAGAUCAGUGAGGUGAGAAUAUAGUCAGUCAGUCAGUCAGUCAGUCAGUCAGUCAGUCAGUCAGACAGACAGACAGACAGACAGACAGACAGACAGACAGACAGACAGACAGACAGACAGGCAUUUUCUUAUUUGUCAUUGUUAUUAUUUAACCUUUAUUUAACUAGGCAAGUCAGGUAGACAGGUAGACAGGCAGACAUGUAGACAGGGAGGCAGGCAGACAGGCAGGCAG
rnacentral:lncRNA from 1 species